ACGGGUGAGUAAAGCGUAGGAAUCUGCCUAUUGGAGUGGGAUAACCUAGGGAAACUUAGGGUAAUACCGCAUAAGCCUUACGAGGUAAAGCAGGGGACCGCAAGGCCUUGCGCUAAUAGAUGAGCCUACGUCGGAUUAGCUAGUUGGUAGGGUAAAGGCCUACCAAGGCGACGAUCCGUAGCUGGUCUGAGAGGACGACCAGCCACACUGGGACUGAGACACGGCCCAGACUCCUACGGGAGGCAGCAGUGGGGAAUAUUGGACAAUGGGCGGAAGCCUGAUCCAGCAAUGCCGCGUGUGUGAAGAAGGCCUGCGGGUUGUAAAGCACUUUCAGUGGGGAGGAGAGGCCACAGGCUAAUAUCCUGUGGAAGAGACGUUACCCACAGAAGAAGCACCGGCUAACUCUGUGCCAGCAGCCGCGGUAAUACAGAGGGUGCAAGCGUUAAUCGGAAUUACUGGGCGUAAAGGGUGCGUAGGUGGUUGCAUAAGUUGGGUGUGAAAGUCCUGGGCUUAACCUGGGGACUGCGCCCAAUACUGUGUAGCUAGAGUACUGUAGAGGAAGGUGGAAUUUCCAGUGUAGCGGUG
rnacentral:rRNA from 1 species